rnacentral:rRNA from 1 species
AGUGAACGCUGGCGGUAGGCCUAACACAUGCAAGUCGAACGGCAGCACAGUAAGAGCUUGCUCUUACGGGUGGCGAGUGGCGGACGGGUGAGGAAUACAUCGGAAUCUACUUUUUCGUGGGGGAUAACGUAGGGAAACUUACGCUAAUACCGCAUACGACCUACGGGUGAAAGCAGGGGAUCUUCGGACCUUGCGCGAUUGAAUGAGCCGAAGUCGGAUUAGCUAGUUGGCGGGGUAAAGGCCCACCAAGGCGACGAUCCGUAGCUGGUCUGAGAGGAUGAUCGGCCACACUGGAACUGAGACACGGUCCAGACUCCUACGGGAGGCAGCAGUGGGGAAUAUUGGGCAAUGGGCGCAAGCCUGAUCCAGCCAUGCCGCGUGAGUGAAGAAGGCCUUCGGGUUGUAAAGCCCUUUUGUUGGGAAAGAAAAGCAGCGGGUUAAUCCCCCGCUGUUCUGACGGUACCCAAUGAAUAAGCACCGGCUAACUUCGUG